CCGCGCCGACCACACGCCAGAUGGGCUGGCCGCACCACGCCGCGCCCGCGCUACCUGGCGACCCCAGCUAGCGGCCGCCGCCCUCGGCGGCCGCCAACGACUGGCGCUCGCGACUGCCGGGCGCCGGAUCCACAUGCCACCGGAGAGGGGGAGAUCAUCUUGCUGGUGCUCAGUUUUGAAUCUUGGGAUGCACACAAUCUGUUUGACUAAAUGCUUCAGGUUGGAGACGAUCACGGUGGCUCCAGUGCUGGGGAUCGCAAGAGCUCCUUGGCAUUUCGUUAAGAACAUGGGCUGAGAAUGACAAUACAAACAAAAGGAAUUUUAAAGACUUCGACAAUAAUCAGCAGGACUCGAAUGGUAGUAGCGAUGAUGACAAAUUGACAAUACCCCUUUGAAACAAACUAAAACAACACGCUCAUAAGGGAAGAUCAACCAGUAAGGAGCUAGCACCAGCUAUGUCUACAUAUGAACAAAUAGAAACUAUCUUUUGUUGUAUAUGACGCCUCUGAGAAGAAUGGUUAGACGAGCUGGAACUAAUAUCAACAAUGUGAAAAAAAGGUGGAUCUUUUGUUAUAAAUACUCCCUAGAGGAUCAGUUUCCACCUCAUCUGUUCUCGCUUUUGGACAGAAACUAUCUUUUGUUGUAUAUAACAGCUCUAAGAACAAUAGUCAGAGCAGAAGAUCCUCACCCUUUUGUUAUAAAUAUUACAUAUUGCCAAUCCUACCGUUUCUGGAACUGAUA